rnacentral:rRNA from 1 species
GAGGAAUAUUCAUCGGCUAACUCCGUGCCAGCAGCCGCGGUAAUACGGGGGAUGCAAGCGUUAUCCGGAAUCAUUGGGCGUAAAGCGCCUGUAGGUUGUUUAUUAAGUCUGUUGUUAAAGACUAGGGCUCAACCCUAGAAAAGCAAUGGAAACUAAUAGACUCGAGUAUGGCAGGGGUAGAGGGAAUUUCUAGUGUAGCGGUGAAAUGCGUAGAUAUUAGAAAGAACACCGGUGGCGAAAGCGCUCUACUGGACCAUUACUGACACUCAGAGGCGAAAGCUAGGGUAGCAAAAGGGAUUAGAUACCCCUGUAGUCCUAGCCGUAAACGAUGGAUACUAGAUGUUGUGCAUUACGUACAGUAUCGUAGCUAACGCGUUAAGUAUCCCGCCUGGGGAGUACGCUCGCAAGGGUGAAACUCAAAGGAAUUGACGGGGGCCCGCACAAGCGGUGGAGCAUGUGGUUUAAUUCGAUGCAACGCGAAGAACCUUACCAGGGCUUGACAUACUACGGAUUUUUUUGAAAGAGAAAAGUGCCUUCGGGAAUGUAGAUACAGGUGGUGCAUGGCUGUCGUCAGCUCGUGUCGUGAGAUGUUGGGUUAAGUCCCGCAACGAGCGCAACCCUUAUUUUUAGUUACCAACUCGUUGGGUUCUCUAGAAAGACUGCCGGUGACAAACCGGAGGAAGGUGAGGAUGACGUCAAGUCAGCAUGCCCCUUAUGUCCUGGGCUACACACGUGCUACAAUGGUUAAGACAAAGAGUUGCGAGCUUGUAAAAGUCAGCUAAUCUCGUAAACUUAGCCUAAGUUCAGAUUGUAGGCUGCAACUCGCCUGCAUGAAG